AAAUUGAAGAGUUUGAUCAUGGCUCAGAUUGAACGCUGGCGGCAGGCCUAACACAUGCAAGUCGAACGGUAGCACAGAGAGCUUGCUCUCGGGUGACGAGUGGCGGACGGGUGAGUAAUGUCUGGGAAACUGCCUGAUGGAGGGGGAUAACUACUGGAAACGGUAGCUAAUACCG
rnacentral:rRNA from 1 species